rnacentral:rRNA from 1 species
UACGUAGGGUGCAAGCGUUGUCCGGAUUUAUUGGGCGUAAAGAGCUCGUAGGCGGUUUGUCGCGUCGGGAGUGAAAUCCACUGGCUUAACUGGUGGCUUGCUUUCGAUACGGGCAGACUGGAGGUAUGCAGGGGAGAACGGAAUUCCUGGUGUAGCGGUGAAAUGCGCAGAUAUCAGGAGGAACACCGGUGGCGAAGGCGGUUCUCUGGGCAUGUCCUGACGCUGAGGAGCGAAAGUGUGGGGGGCGAACAGG